rnacentral:rRNA from 1 species
UACGUAGGGGGCAAGCGUUGUCCGGAAUCAUUGGGCGUAAAGAGCGUGUAGGCGGCUCGGUAAGUCCGCUGUAAAAGUCCAGGGCUCAACCCUGGAAAGCCGGUGGAAACUGUCGGGCUAGAGUCCGGAAGAGGCGAGUGGAAUUCCUGGUGUAGCGGUGAAAUGCGCAGAUAUCAGGAGGAACACCAAUGGCGAAGGCAGCUCGCUGGGACGGUACUGACGCUGAGACGCGAAAGCGUGGGAGCAAACAGG